rnacentral:rRNA from 1 species
UACAGAGGGGGCAAGCGUUGUUCGGAAUUACUGGGCGUAAAGGGCGCGUAGGCGGCCUUCUUAGUCGAACGUGAAAUCCCCGGGCUCAACCCGGGAACUGCGUCCGAUACUGGCAGGCUUGAAUCCGGGAGAGGGAUGCGGAAUUCCAGGUGUAGCGGUGAAAUGCGUAGAUAUCUGGAGGAACACCGGUGGCGAAGGCGGCAUCCUGGACCGGUAUUGACGCUGAUGCGCGAAAGCCAGGGGAGCAAACGGG